CGUCAUCUGGGCGGGUGGAUCCGGGCGCUCGCACUGUCCGCCGAUGGCAGUGAGAUCAUCGCUGCCGAUGGCGG
rnacentral:tRNA from 1 species